UGGGAUGUAGCCAAGCGGUAAGGCACCAGACUUUGACUCUGGCACUCGCAGGUUCGAUCCCUGCCAUCCCAG
rfam:Sporobacter termitidis DSM 10068 genome assembly, contig: EK05DRAFT_scaffold00010.10